GCAUUUGUGGUUCAGUGGUAGAAUUCUUGCCUUCCAUGUAGGAGACCUGGGUUCGAUUCCUGGCUAAGGCA
rnacentral:tRNA from 1 species